UAAAAGGCUGUGAAGGGGAGGAGUAGCCUUCAAACACCGAACAGGGAGGGGAUGCCGCGAUUGAGAGCAUCUUCACGGUUAAGGAGGGUGAAGGACACCCUGGAGCUUCCGCCUGAAAUGAGUAGGGUGGGACGCUGAUGCGUUAUCAAGUCAAGUGGGUUUUAUGCCAAUUAGGGUGGCACCGCGGAAUUAUCCGUCCCUUUU
rnacentral:ncRNA from 1 species